rnacentral:rRNA from 1 species
AUUGAACGCUGGCGGCAUGCCUAACACAUGCAAGUCGAACGGCAGCACGGCAGUAGCAAUACUGUGGGUGGCGAGUGGCGGACGGGUGAGGAAUACGUCGGAAUCUGCCCAGUCGUGGGGGAUAACUAGCCGAAAGGUUAGCUAAUACCGCAUACGACCGAGAGGUGAAAGCGGGGGACCGCAAGGCCUCGCGCGAUUGGAUGAGCCGACGUCGGAUUAGCUAGUUGGUGGGGUAAAGGCCCACCAAGGCGACGAUCCGUAGCUGGUCUGAGAGGAUGAUCAGCCACACUGGAACUGAGACACGGUCCAGACUCCUACGGGAGGCAGCAGUGGGGAAUAUUGGACAAUGGGCGCAAGCCUGAUCCAGCAAUGCCGCGUGUGUGAAGAAGGCCUCGGUGUAAGAGACUUAUCUAGACGAAAGACGUAGG